rnacentral:lncRNA from 1 species
CAGAGCUGCGGCUGCUGGCCUAGGCCACAGCCACAGCAAUACAGGAUCCAAGCCACAUCUGUGACCUACACCACAGCUCAGGCAACACCAGAUCCUUAACCCCCACUGAACGAGGCCAGGGAUUGAACCUGCAUCCUCAUGGAUACUAGCUGGGUUAACCCGCUGAGCUACAACAUUCUUUUAAAAAAGCGUUUUUAGUAAGGAAAAUUUCAAAGGUACACAACAGCACAGAAAAUAGUAUAACAAAUCUCCAAGUACCUACUACUGAGCCUCAACCAUUUCCAACUCACAGCUAUCCUGUCUCAUGUAUACCCCUGAUAUCUGGGCAUUUCAUUUAUCCAAUUUAUAUCCAUCUUAAGAAUCUCCUUUAUUCUAGACACCAUGUAGGACAUGCGGAAGUUCCCAGGCCAGAGGUGGAACCCAUGCCACACCAGUGACCUGAGCUGCAGCACUACCAAGGUCAAAUUCUUCACCUGCUGUGCCACCAGGGAACUCCAUAAAAUGGAGUUUUGUAACUACCUGUCCAAUAUCCCCCAGUGGGCUGAGCGCCAGAGCUGGGAUUCCAACCGAGGCAGUCUGGGUGGGAGGCCAUGCGUUACCCAAGACACCACAGGUGCCACCCAGGAGUUCACUGUGCUCCACUGGACAAAGAACUGCUCUCUCAGCUUCCGCAGCAGCACUGUUCCUACCCUGCUUCUCCCAAGGUCAAUGACUAGAACUGUCCCUAAAGCCCUCUUCAGAUGGUCCACCUUCCCCCAAACAAGACAACAGCUUACUCAAUGCCAUAUUCUAAUAUGUCUGAGUUUUUGAAACACCGGCUUCCUUUUCUUCUUUCCUUUUAGGCAACAAGGUUUCACAAAUCUGCAUUUUUCCUAGGGCAUGCUAUUAAAAAUAACACAUUUAAGUCUUCUUUUAAAAAAUGUAUUGGCGUGUAGUUGAUUACAAUGUUGUGUUUGUGUUCUAAACAAGUUUAGAACUAGAUUAAGUGUUUACACUUGCCCAAUUUUAUCCUAAUUAAAUAAUUUAUGUGAAGUGCCUAGUAUAGUCCCUAGCAGAGUUCACUAUAAUAUUAAUUUCUUCAUUUACUCUAAUAAGUAUAUAAAGUAGGUUGGACAGGCACUCGUAAUCAGAUUUGACAGUUGAAGAAACUGAAACACAAGGAGGCAUCUUUCCUUGGCUGCUCCUUAAGACCCAGUCCAACAUGAGGUCUCUGGUUCACCUUUAGCGCCUGUUAACCAACACUUUCGAGCCUUUGAGUACACACGGUAUCUCCCAAAAGGAGGAGCUGGAUCAUCUUGCUUGGGCUGCGCCUGACUUGACGGCUGGUCUGGAGGAAACAAAGGAGGUAGAGGCAGAUCUUAGGACGAACCCCACCUUGUGAAGCUCCUGCCUCUAGUGGUGUCUUCGCAGUGUCUGCAGCCAGGGAAGACCAUUCCUUCUCCAGGAAAGAGGAGGGACAGUUCCUGGGAUCAGAGGAAUGUGGGGUUCAAGGGUCUCAGAUUUGUCCAUCCAAAUACCCUUACCCCAUGUCUCAAGGUCUGCUAUUUCCUUAGCUGGGCCCUGACACUGACCUCAGAGUCUCCUUAAGGCUGUGUUCUCCUUGGUAACCGAGCUGUACUCACAAUUAAAGCCUAGGAUGAAUGGCAACUAUCUUCCUAGGGCUGUUGGGGGGAGAGGGACAUUUCUCUGUUGUCCUGGAAACUUUCCCAGUUGCACAGCAUUCCUUGAGGUUGACAGUUGGCCAAUCAAGCUGCCAUUUUCCUCUCCUCUCACAAGACUUCUAAAGACCAGCAACCAGAGUCAGCCAGCUCUACAUUCCCUAUAAUUAACACUGACCACGUAUUUUUUUAUGAAUUGCCACUACAUAAAGCAAUGCCUCAUCUUCCGAAUUCACCAUUCCAAUUCACUGCUGGUGAAAACCUCAGCAACUGUGAUGCUGCUGCGUGCCAAGGGUUAAUGUCACCCCAUUUACCAACAUGACUGGGAUCCUUACUGGAUCCAGUUGGUCCAAUACUAGAAUCCAUUUGGACGGUUUGUUUGUAGAACUGCUUGUAUCACCAAGUGUCUUAGCCUGGGUCCACAAAGUAGCAGGGUUGAGAGAAGUACUUUGCAUGCAAGAAUUUACUCUGGGAUGAGUCCAAGGGAAAAAGAACGGGGUCUGGGGAGAGCAAGACAAGGAAGGAAGACAAUCCAAUUCAAUGUUCUACUGAGCUGAUCUCUGCUGAGAGGAAAUGGGCUUUACUUUUCUGGGGACUGUCUGAAGAGCCAUGUAGAAUCACCACUUGAGGGUGACAUGGUGAUUAUUUUUCUACUGCUUGGUUCUCAUCCUGCACGAGGUAAGGAUUGCCCUCGGGAUUUUAAUGUGUUAAAAUCUCUCGCCGUGAUUGUACAUUUAUAUAUUUCUCCUUGUAGAUGACCAAUUUUUGCUUCAUGUGUUUUGAAGUCGUAAGUAGAAUCUAGAAUUAGUAGAUACUUCUGGUGAUUGGGAAUUUUUAUUAUACAAUGACCUUUACUCUUAGUAAUGCAUUCUGCCUUAAGUUUUAUGUAAUAAUACCUACCACGGCGUAACUUAAUUCCAUUAUUUCAAUCUACUGGUAUCCGUAUGUUUUAGAUGUUUCUCUCAUAAAGAGCAUAUGGUUGGACUUCUAAAAUUUUAGUUUGACAAUUCUUGUCUUUUUUUGGCCAUGCGUGAAGCAUGCAGAAGUUCCCGGGCCAGGGAUCGAACCUGUGCCACAACAGUGACCUGAGCCACUGCAGUGACAAUGCCAGAUCCUUAACCUGCUGGGCCACCUGAGAACUCCCUACAAUUCUUGUCUUUGAAUCGGAGCAUUUACUCCAUUUACAUUUGAUGUUAAUAGAAUGUCCUACGUCCCACCCCCCCUCUAGAUUUUUGUCUUUCUCCGUCAUCCCAUUUUGGACUGUCAGUUGAAAGUAAUAUAUUUUUACCCUUUAGUGGUCACUUACAGCAAACCAUGCAUUGCCGACCUAUCAGAGUCCAAUGUGAGUUAAUACAUUUAGUCUCCUCUCAGAUGAUGUGAGGACUUGGGUAAACAGUUGAAGUUUAUAUGAUUUAUAUGUUAGUGUUGUCGUGUGUUUCAGUUCUCUUGUAAAUAUUUUUAACUACACAAGAUGUCACUUUCUUUGCUCUUCAAUUAUUCUUGCAUCAUUAAACUUCAAUCAACUUGGAUUUAUCUUUGGAAUUUCCUUUGGGCAGGUUUAUUGGUGAUAAACUGAUUUUAUCAUCUGAAAAUGUAUUUCUUCAUUCUUGAAGGGUAUUUUUGGUGUGUUGAACUCUGCAUUGGCAAUGAACGCCUUUUAGCCCAUUUCAUCACUGUCUUUUGCUUCUCUUAUUUCUAUUGAGAAGUCUAUUUCUCUUUCUUUUUUUGCUGCACCUAUGGCAUGUGGAAGCUGUUCCUGGGCCAGGGAUUGAACCCAAACCACAGCAGUGACCUGAACCACUGCAGUGUCCACGCCUUCCCCCCGCCCCACUCCUUGACCCACUGCGACACAAGAGAACUCUUCCUCCUCAUUUUCUUAAAGUACAAUGUGAAGGGGAGACUCGACAACCACUAGGGUCCUCACUCCUGUUCUGACAUCUUGUGGAAAAGACUUGGGCUUGCUUAGCCGUGGACUUCAGUAGCAGUUACGUAAGAAGUCCCAGGGGGGAGCAGCUCUCUUUUAGUGGGUGGAAUUCUCGCCUGAGCCUCCUCUCUCUGCUCUGCCGAGGACCACCCUCAUAUCACUGGGAAUAAAUAAUGAUGGUUUAACCAUUUGCAUGUGUUCCACUACGCCCAUUUGUGGAAUGUUUUGACGUUUUUUUGACGGAGAAUAGUAUCUGCACAUCCAGAUAAUUACAGUAGGGUAUGGAGAGGCUUGUGAGUGAAGCUUAUUCCGAGGGUAAUAAAUUCCAUGUCUUGGCAGGAUAGGCUCUCCUUAAGAUAAGAGAAGAAACAAAUGGAGCUCUGGAGAGUGAAAUCCUCUUCAUCCUUAGAGAAAAGUCACACAUGUUCUCACUUGAGGAUGCAAUGGAAAGAGUAUUUGGAAUCAGGGAUUCUGGAUUUAGUUAAGUCCCCUGCUACUAAUUAACAAUGAGACUUUAAGUCACAAAUCUAUUUGGAUUUUAGUUUUUCUUCUGCUGUAAAAUGAGGAUGAAAUGAGAGGUUGCAGACUCUUUGUAAAUUCCUGAAUUACUAUCCAAAUGUAAAUUAUCAUCUUUUUAUACAACAUCGGUCUGGGCACUGAACAGAUUAGUGAUGGGGGGAGCCAGGGGGGCAGGUUUGCUCGUUUUCUCCAAAAGAAGGAAAGAGCUAGAGAGAGGAACAUCUUAGAGCACUUCUUUUGCUUCCAUAUUUAGAUAACAAGGUUUCUGACUACAGGGUCACUGGAACACAGUAAGACAUGGGGCAAAAAUGGAGAUUUAAGCUAGAUGAAACUUGAUCCAUCCCCUAUUGGGGCCACAUG